AAUGAUGGAAGAUUGGGUUAAGCAAUUUGAGGAGCUUGCUGGCUCUCAGGACAUGGAAUCUAUUGUAGAGACCAUGAUGCAACAACUUUUGUCUAAGGAGAUUCUUCAUGAACCCAUGAAGGAAAUUGGAGAAAGAUAUCCAAAAUGGCUAGAAGAACACAAAGCCAGUUUGACCACAGAAGAUUAUGAGCGAUACUCUCAUCAAUAUGAACUCAUCACCCACCUUAAUCAAGUUUAUGAGAAUGAACCUAAUAACUUUACCAAGAUUGUUGACCUCAUGCAGAGAAUGCAAGAAUGUGGCCAACCACCAAAUGAUAUUGUGCAAGAGCUUGCUCCCGAUAUUGAUUUCGCUAAUCUUGGCCAAAUAUCUCCAGAGAUGCUCGAGUCCCAGUCAAAUUGUUGCAUAAUGUGAGGCUAUUCCUCCCUCUCAUUUUCUGUACUCGUUUCAGGUGUCCCAUUGUCCCAUAGGUAUUUUUCUUCCUUCUGAAAUGUAUUGUGAAAGAUAAAGUAGCGCACUUAAAUUAUGGUUAUUUUUAUUUUUCUCAUUCCCUGACAGUAGAAGGAAAUGCUCAAUUUAAGGGCGUUGGUUCAUGUUGNNNNAUGAUUUGAGUGUCUCUCUGAACUAAAAUUUGUGAGAGGGGCUCAUGAUUCAUUAAGGCGG
rnacentral:misc_RNA from 1 species